UACGAAGGGUGCAAGCGUUAAUCGGAAUUACUGGGCGUAAAGGGUGCGUAGGCGGUUGUUUAAGUCUGUCGUGAAAUCCCCGGGCUCAACCUGGGAAUGGCGAUGGAAACUGGGCAGCUAGAGUGUGUCAGAGGAUGGUGGAAUUCCGGGUGUAGCGGUGGAAUGCGUAGAGAUCCGGAAGAACACCGGAGGCGAAGGCGGCUGGCUGGACCUGAUCUGACGCUGAGGUGCGAAAGCGUGGGGAGCGAACAGG
rnacentral:rRNA from 1 species